CUACUCGACUCUUCCUCUACAUAGAUUUUGAUAACUUUCCCCCUUAUUGUUUACUAGGGGGGCAUGAUGGGAGUAAUUGUGGACCAAGUUCCUUUGGCUUUUCUUGUUCAUGAGACCCUUGGUCGGAUGCUGACCAUGUUGUGCGCUUCUGGUUGUAACUUUUGUUCAUGACAUUGUUGUCUAUGGAGCAAACAAUAAAAACAUCCGCAAAAUCAAUGUCUAAAGGCCUCCUGAGCUAAUAAAAAAAACCUAUAUGUGUUUGAAUGCUUUCCAGGUGAUACCACCAGAGAUCAGAAAUAGACUAAUUACCCUUACAUCAUUAACCGCACAGAACAACAAGCAGAAAAUAAAGUUGUGCUGAUGAGAAAUUCCGGGAGACUGCAGAUGCUUA